GAUGAACGCUAGCUACAGGCUUAACACAUGCAAGUCGAGGGGCAGCAUGUCGGUUGCUUGCAACCGAUGAUGGCGACCGGCGCACGGGUGAGUAACGCGUAUCCAACCUACCCUUGUCCAUCGGAUAACCCGUCGAAAGGCGGCCUAACACGAUAUGCGGUUCACCGCAGGCAUCUAAGGUGAACGAAAUGUGAAGGAGGGGCUUGCGUCUGAUUAGCUAGUUGGAGGGGUAACGGCCCACCAAGGCGACGAUCAGUAGCCGGUCUGAGAGGAUGAACGGCCACAUUGGGACUGAGACACGGUCCAAACUCCUACGGGAGGCAGCAGUGAGGAAUAUUGGUCAAUGGACGAGAGUCUGAACCAGCCAAGUAGCGUGCAGGAUGACGGCCCUCCGGGUUGUAAACUGCUUUUAGUUGGGAAUAAAGUUCGGGACGUGUCCCGAUUUGUAUGUACCAUCAGAAAAAGGACCGGCUAAUUCCGUG
rnacentral:rRNA from 1 species